AGCAGCCGCGGUAAUUCCAGCUCCAAUAGCGUAUAUUAAAGUUGUUGCAGUUAAAAAGCUCGUAGUUGAAUUUCGGGAUUAAUAUGCUGGUCGUGCCAUUGGUACGUACUAGUAUUAUUGAUUUCUCCCUUCUGAUGAAUCAUGAUGUCAUUAAUUUGAUGUCAUGGGGAAUCAGGACUGUUACUUUGAAAAAUUAGAGUGUUUAAAGCAGGCUCGCGCUUGAAUACAUUAGCAUGGAAUAAUGAAAUAGGACGUUUGAUUCUAUUUUGUUGGUUUCUAGGAUUGACGUAAUGAUUAAUAGGGAUAGUUGGGGGCAUUAGUAUUCAAUUGUCAGAGGUGAAAUUCUUGGAUUUAUUGAAGACUAACUACUGCGAAAGCAUUUGCCAAGGAUGUUUUCAUUAAUCAAGAACGAAAGUUAGGGGAUCGAAGACGAUCAGAUACCGUCGUAGUCUUAACCAUAAACUAUGCCGACUAGGGAUCGGAUGAUGUUAAUUUUUAAUGUA
rnacentral:rRNA from 1 species